AUCAUAGAACCCUAAAUGCUCAUCAUAUUCAAAUUCUUCAAAUUCAUUCACACAAGUAUCUCAAAAAUCAGAACCUGAAGGGCAUGAUUCAGCCAACUGUUAAACAUUUUAACUGCCAGAAAUCACAACUGAUUCUAAAUGCCAUCGGAAUCGUCGAUUACAGAUCAUGAACCUGACGAUUCCGAUACUGAGUUCGUUGAGAUCGAUCCGUCCGGUCGUUACGGUUGGGUUAGUGCGUUUAACUUUAUUAAUUUGGAUACAGAUUUGAGCAUUAUCUGUUAGAUUUUGAUAUUAAGUUGUAUAAUUUGCAGUAUAAAGAAGUCUUGGGGAAAUGUGCUUUUAAAAAAGUGCAUCCUUAUAUUGCAUUAUUGUUUUAUAUUAGAUAUUUUAUGUUGUCAAUAGGUUUAUAAAUUAAUUUCGUAUACAAUUUUUAUGUAAUUAAAGCUUAGAAUGUAAGUUUUAUGUUCCUUGAUUAUUGGGAAUUUAGAUACAAAGCAUUUGAUGAAUUGGAAGGGAUUGAAGUAGCUUGGAAUCAAAUAAAGGUUUCGGAUUUCUUGAGGCAUCCGGAGGAGCUAGAGCGUCUAUACUCGGAAGUUCAUUUGCUUAAAACGCCUAUGCAUAAGAACAUUAUAAAAUUUUAUAGUUCUUGGGUUGAUACAACGAAGGAGCACAUCAACUUUAUUACUGAGACUCAGAAGCUUCUAUCAUCAUUUUUGCCUUCGAUUUUAGUGGCCGGACUGAUUCUACUCCACCCGAAGCCCGAGCCCGAUGGGACCGUGCAAAAAAUGUUAAUGUUUUGGGUGUUGAGUUUGCAAAGAGUUCAGUUGAGGUACCAUUUGUGUGGCAUAUCCAAGUCAGCACAUGGAUUCGUCACUUUGUAGCUUGCUUUCACCAGAUUUCAUCAGAGGCUACUCGACAGGUAUUAGGCACUUACACUAUUCGGAAUAAAUUUUUCGUUAAUCAUGAUUACGACUUAUUAUAAUAACAAAUAAUCUUUUAAUAAAAUAAUUUAAGGGGUUGUAUGCAUUAAAUAUAAACUUUGAGCGACUUUCAAUCCCUUUGCACUGUUCCUUUUUUAACUAUUUUUUAUUAUAAAUAAUAACACGACCGAAAUCGACUCAUUUAUUAGUACAUUGCACAAAUUGCUAACCUCUUUAAAUUCUUUUUUCUUUCAUGAAUCCCUGAAUGCUUUUAUCAAGAUUCUACGGGUAACAGUACCUAUAAUUCUUUGUAAGGGAAAUAGCAAAUCAUGGUUGCUUCAAUUCAGGAACUUAUUGAAUUACUUACAACUGAAAUGCAAAGCGACACCGCCAGAUCCAGCUGCGGAUGCUUUCUUUUCCAGUACGAUCCGCUAAUAUUCGGUCGCAAAAGGCCAAGGGUGGAGCCAUUGCAGAGAACUCGAGCAGAUCAAGGUCUGGUUUGUUUUCACUGGCUAUUGAAUGUCAUUCCAAUUUUGUAAGGGAAGCUCACACUGAGAAAGAGUCAUCACUACCCUUGGUCGGACAUGUGGGCCAUUCAAGCUUUGAUAGCUAUUCAGAACCCUCUACCACUUGAACAAUUUAUAGAAGCUACAUGUCGUCUCAAGAUCUACAUGUUAUGUAACGUAUUUGGAGAACAAUUGAGCGGGUAUCACGGUGUUCGGAUUUAUGCUGGAUAGGACUUCAUUGCACACUAAGUAACGAUCUGACAAUCUGAGAGAGUAGGAAUGUUGUUGUAUCCGAUUAUUUCAAAUGGUUCGAGAUUCUGUUGGUGAAUAUAAAUGAUCUGAUAUGGAUAAAUUCUUCUCUAUGUAUUAUGAUACAAAUGCUUCCUAAGUUCCUAUCAAAACCAUUACCUUCAUUUUUUGUUUGUACGUAUUUGUUAUAGAUUCUUCUGGUGGCAUUGUUGCAGAUAACCAAGGUAAGUUGGUUUUUAGGGAUCUUUUUUGGUUGCAAUGUGUCGAAAACUCCUUUCUGCAUUUGCGGCUCCUUAUUACCCAUUCGAGUGGUCUACGUGGGUUCCGAAGAAGGUUGAUGUUCUCUGUUUGAGCAGAGCAAGACCGACUCUCAACUUUAGAGGGCCUACAUUGAAGGAACAUUGUAUGGGAUUCGAUAAAGUGCCGUUUGUGUGGAGAAUAUACAGAGACGUCACACCUGUUCUCCUCAUGUUUCAUAGCUGCAAACUUAUGAAGUAAAGUAAGCUAAUGGUGUGAAAUUCCGCCAAUCUUUCCUUUCACUUUUAAAGACCUACUGCAAGCGGUAAUUCUCACCACCUGCUGGUCGUAUGGAAGGGCGAAACGGACUUAUUUUUUCAGGCAGAAGAGUUAUUCUUGAGCAGCUGCUAAGCGAGAUCAAAACAAUGUCAUUCAUGUGGGUAAAAAAUCGAGCGAAGCGUAUUGAGGUAGAAUGGGACAACUGGCGAAGAUUCGAGGUUUCAAAUGUUUUGCUUUGCCCAUUUGCAGUAGGAAGUAGUGUUGUACAACCAGUAUGCUUCAGUAUGGUACGGUAUCGGUACUGUAUUGUUGUCAAAUCAACGCCACCUGAUUUGAUGGAGGAAGCAGGGAAACUCAAGUUUGUAUGCUUAUCGAAUGAUAAUAUUGAUGAACAUAUGAUGUGAU